rnacentral:rRNA from 1 species
UACGAAGGGGGCUAGCGUUGUUCGGAAUCACUGGGCGUAAAGCGCACGCAGGCGGAUUGAUAAGUCGGGGGUGAAAUCCCGAGGCUCAACCUCGGAACUGCCUCCAAAACUACAAGUCUGGAGCAAGAUAGAGGCAAGUGGAAUUGCGAGUGUAGAGGUGAAAUUCGUAGAUAUUCGCAGGAACACCAGUGGCGAAGGCGACUUGCUGGAUCUUUGCUGACGCUGAGACGCGAAAGCGUGGGGAGCAAACAGG